UACGUAGGUGGCAAGCGUUGUCCGGAUUUACUGGGCGUAAAGAGCGCGCAGGCGGUCGUUCAAGUCGCGUGUGAAAGCCCCCGGCUCAACUGGGGAGGGUCACGCGAUACUGAUCGACUCGAAGGCAGGAGAGGGUAGUGGAAUUCCCGGUGUAGUGGUGAAAUGCGUAGAUAUCUGGAGGAACACCGGUGGCGAAGGCGGCAUCCUGGACCGGUAUUGACACUGAGGCGCGAAAGCCAGGGGAGCAAACGGG
rnacentral:rRNA from 1 species